rnacentral:rRNA from 1 species
CACAUGCAAGUCGAACGAGCGAGAGAGAGCUUGCUUUCUCGAGCGAGUGGCGAACGGGUGAGUAACGCGUGAGGAACCUGCCUCAAAGAGGGGGACAACAGUUGGAAACGACUGCUAAUACCGCAUAAGCCCACGGGUCGGCAUCGACCAGAGGGAAAAGGAGUGAUCCGCUUUGAGAUGGCCUCGCGUCCGAUUAGCUAGUUGGUGAGGUAACGGCCCACCAAGGCGACGAUCGGUAGCCGGACUGAGAGGUUGAACGGCCACAUUGGGACUGAGACACGGCCCAGACUCCUACGGGAGGCAGCAGUGGGGAAUAUUGCACAAUGGGGGAAACCCUGAUGCAGCGACGCCGCGUGGAGGAAGAAGGUCUUCGGAUUGUAAACUCCUGUUGUUGGGGAAGAUAAUGACGGUACCCAACAAGGAAGUGACGGCUAACUACGUGCCAGCAGCCGCGGUAAAACGUAGGUCACAAGCGUUGUCCGGAAUUACUGGGUGUAAAGGGAGCGCAGGCGGGAAGACAAGUUGGAAGUGAAAUCCAUGGGCUCAACCCAUGAACUGCUUUCAAAACUGUUUUUCUUGAGUAGUGCAGAGGUAGGCGGAAUUCCCGGUGUAGCGGUGGAAUGCGUAGAUAUCGGGAGGAACACCAGUGGCGAAGGCGGCCUACUGGGCACCAACUGACGCUGAGGCUCGAAAGUGUGGGUAGCAAACAGGAUUAGAUACCCUGGUAGUCCACACCGUAAACGAUGAUUACUAGGUGUUGGAGGAUUGACCCCUUCAGUGCCGCAGUUAACACAAUAAGUAAUCCACCUGGGGAGUACGACCGCAAGGUUGAAACUCAAAGGAAUUGACGGGGGCCCGCACAAGCAGUGGAGUAUGUGGUUUAAUUCG